rnacentral:rRNA from 1 species
GGCGCGCAAAUUAUUCAAUGGAAACAAUUUUCCGAAAUAGUGACAAAAAAUAUCAAUGCUGGGUACUAUGUAUCUAGUAAUUGGAAUGAGUACAAUUUAAAUCCCUUAACAAGUAACAAUUAGAGGGCAAGUCUGGUGCCAGCAGCCGCGGUAAUUCCAGCUCUAAUAGCGUAUAUUAAUAUUGUUGCAGUUAAAAAGCUCGUAGUUGAAAUUUGGGACUUUAUUAUAUUGGUUUGUAUUAUGAUGAACUGUAUAAUGGGUUUCUUCCUACUAGAGUUCGAUUCUGUUCUUAACUGAAUGGAGUAGCUAUCUCUCGGGGUAGUCAGUUGGUUAUUAUGUCUCCACUAAUGAGCAGAGAGGAGUAAAAAUCUUUGAAGUAAGUUAUGUGGAUCAAGGUAUAAUGAUUAAUUGGAGUUCUAGUUCAUUUACUUUGAGAAAAUUAGAGUGUUAAAGUCAGCCUCUUGGGGCACUGAAUACAUUAGCAU